AUUGAACGCUGGCGGCAUGCCUUACACAUGCAAGUCGAACGGUAACAGGUCUUCGGAUGCUGACGAGUGGCGAACGGGUGAGUAAUACAUCGGAACGUGCCUAGUAGUGGGGGAUAACUACUCGAAAGAGUGGCUAAUACCGCAUGAGAUCUACGGAUGAAAGCAGGGGAUCGCAAGACCUUGUGCUACUAGAGCGGCCGAUGGCAGAUUAGGGAGUUGGUGGGAUAAAAGCUUACCAAGCCGACGAUCUGUAGCUGGUCUGAGAGGACGAUCAGCCACACUGGGACUGAGACACGGCCCAGACUCCUACGGGAGGCAGCAGUGGGGAAUUUUGGACAAUGGGCGCAAGCCUGAUCCAGCAAUGCCGCGUGCAGGAUGAAGGCCUUCGGGUUGUAAACUGCUUUUGUACGGAACGAAAAGCCUUGGGUUAAUACCCUGGGGUCAUGACGGUACCGUAAGAAUAAGCACCGGCUAACUACGUGCCAGCCGCCGCCGUAAGAC
rnacentral:rRNA from 1 species